GACAGAGGUGCCAAGCGUUUAGGCGGAAUCACUGGGCUUAAAGCGUGUGUAGGCGGAUCGUUAAGUACCUUGUGAAAUCCCACGGCUCACCCGUGGAACUGCUCGGUAUACUGGCGGUCUUGAGCCACUUAGGGGCUGUCGGAACAGACGGUGGAGCGGUGAAAUGCGUAGAUAUCGUCUGGAACGCCAAUGGUGAAAACAGACAAGCUAGGGAGUGGAUGCUGACGCUGAGACACGAAAGACCAGGGGAGCGAACGGG
rnacentral:rRNA from 1 species